rnacentral:lncRNA from 1 species
UCUCCCAGUGUCUCACAGUGCAAGAUUUCUCCUCUGCAGCUAAGGAAGGGGAGGAAGAAACAUCAGGGGUUUUACUGGGACCUGAUCAUGCUGCUGCUGAUGGUGGGGAACCUCAUAGUACUGCCCGUGGGCAUCACUUUCUUCAAGGAGGAGAACUCCCCACCCUGGAUCGUCUUCAAUGUCCUCUCGGACACUUUCUUCCUGCUGGAUCUGGUGCUCAACUUCCGAACUGGCAUCGUGGUGGAGGAAGGUGCGGAGAUCCUGUUGGCGCCCAGGGCUAUCCGCACGCGUUACCUGCGCACCUGGUUCCUGGUGGACCUGAUUUCCUCCAUCCCUGUGGAUUACAUCUUCCUAGUGGUAGAGCUGGAGCCACGACUAGACGCUGAGGUCUACAAAACGGCACGGGCCCUGCGCAUCGUUAGAUUCACCAAGAUCCUUAGCCUGCUGCGGCUGCUCCGCCUCUCCCGCCUCAUCCGAUACAUGCACCAGUGGGAGGAGAUCUUUCACAUGACCUACGACCUGGCCAGUGCAGUGGUUCGCAUCUUCAACCUCAUUGGAAUGAUGUUGCUGCUGUGUCACUGGGAUGGCUGUCUGCAGUUCCUGGUCCCUAUGCUGCAGGACUUCCCUUCCGACUGCUGGGUCUCCAUGAACCGCAUGGUGAACCACUCGUGGGGCCGCCAGUACUCCCACGCCCUGUUCAAGGCCAUGAGUCACAUGCUGUGCAUUGGCUACGGGCAGCAGGCA